GUCCGCCAGUAUACGGCUCUGCCUUAUUGAACGGGCUCAGAAGUUUCCUGUUGGCUUAUCGAGGGAGUCCCUGACCGGAGAGCAAAUCAAACCUGACUGAACUGGAAGCGGCUGAAGCGAGACCUCUCCUGUCAUAUCCACGCGCCCGACCAGCGUGGCUGCCGAGAAUGAGCGGUGGCCUACGCAUCUCCGCAGCCCCCGGCCCCCCAGCCAAAAAACGCAAAUGCGCUUUCUAUAUAAAAACCAGCGGCUCAUUGAUAUUCUGCGGAGGGCUGAACGUGAAAAGGGCAAUCUUCCUCGUUGGUAGUGUUUUCUCUGGAGCGGAGCCCGGUCUACUCAUGCAGGAAGAUGAGCGCCUGGGAGUCCACCUGCGCUGGGAGCGAUGGCUCCCAUGGUUUCCAACAGUGUACACCUCCAAUUUAGUCCUUUUUAAAUAUCUUUUCAUGGUCCCUCUCCCCAGAAUGAACCCAUGAAACCUGUCACAAAUGUGCCACCUAUUAUCAGUGAAGCAACACUAAAAUGAUCUCGUUAUCCCCGAAGACGAAUAUUGUCCCAGGAUCAGCUCGUUAAGCCCAAAUCCACAUCCCAGCUAUUUUUUUGACAGAAUGCGGGUUUUGAUCAAGAUUGAAAUCAAGAGAAUAAUUUAGCCCACAUUUUUUGUAAUUGGCAAAGGCUGUCAAAAAAGCCACUGUCAACUGCUUAAUAAAUGGAUAUGCCAAGUUAAA